rnacentral:lncRNA from 1 species
CCCCUCCACAUGGCGUGGAGACCAUGAAAGGAAAGGAGGGGCAGACGCCCCUCCUUUCUUGGUGCGUGUGUGAGGAGGGGCGGAUGCCUGUCCCUCUAUCAUGGAUCCCGACAUGACGGAGGUUAUGGAUAACUCGUCAAACUCCAUUGUUUGUCUUAUGUCGGAUUUAUUUGACUCAAGUUCGAGAGUGGAAAACUCCUUUUCUAGAACUGCUCUGGCCAAGGUCUUUCGAACUUAGUCUCAUAAAUCACAUAGGAUCUCUCCUAAUCUAUCAAGGUUCCCAUCUAGGUGCAGCCCUAAUCCGACAGUGAACUUACCGCAGCCAAGCUGCACCACAAGGACCAUUAGGGCAAAUGUUUAUGUGCUCGUCAAACUACAGCAACCUCACCGUGAUUAGCUGAGGCAUCACAGGUCUAAGUACUAGUCAUACAACUGCAGCAUCAAGUAAGUCACCGACGAGUGGAUAGACAUCCAAGUGACUUCUUGCUUUGGUCACGCUCAGUAUCUUUGUUCUUUAACAAGCACUUGCACAAUCAUCCCAGUGUUGCCACAUGUUGGACUUAAGACUCGUCCAUCAAGAAAAGUGAUCUGUGCACUAAUCUUAUCGGAUCGAUCACCGUCCUUUGUGAUGAUCCUUCGAUCAGGAGCAGUUCAGGAAUUACCUAAUGACACAUGUCUUAAAUUCUCAACUCUUGAGAAUAUGUGUUAUUAUCUCAUUAAUUCCUAGGACGAUUCAUGAACACAUAAUAACAUUAAUGAAAAGAAGACCCAAUUUUAUUGAUGAAUAAAAUGAUCAAGUACAGUUGUUAUGUCCUAGAAUUAAUACAAUGCAUCUGCCAUAUUGGCUUCUAGGGCAUACUUCUAACACGUAUACCUCCUCAUAUGAUUUCUAUUAAAAACUUGUUCCUAUCUCAUUCUUAUACCAAGAAUAGUUAGUCUUUUAUUUGUAUGAAUAUGCAUGUAGUUCAUGCAUGAGUGCAGUUAAAUGCUCCGAAUCUACACAUAAACCUACCAUUAUCUGCAUGUUUCCAGUUUAGAGUUGAAAAUGUGUUUGAUCUACUAACAUUGUUAUGCGGUAGACUUAACCACAUCAUGCUUUAGCUGUUAGAUGGUCAUUGUUUCUUGAUAUAGAUAUACAUGAGUGUAGUUGAAUGCUCUGAAUCUACACUUAAACCUACCAUUAUCUGCAUGUUUCCAGUUUAGAGUUGAAAAUGUGUUUGAUCUACUAACAUUGUUAUGCGGUAGACUUAACCACAUCAUGCUUUAGCUGUUAGAUGGUCAUUGUUUCUUGAUAUAUAUAUAUAUAUA